rnacentral:rRNA from 1 species
AUGGACCCCAAACUCCGCUCUACGCAGGAGGAACCAUCCAACGAGAGAAAGAAGGAUAAAAAGAGCAAGAAGAAGGAGAAGAAGCCGAAGUCAGCGGCCGAGGCCGAGGCCGAGGAGGUAGCGGCGGAACAGGAGGAACUAUCCAACAAGAGAAAGAAGGAUAAAAAGAACAAGAAGGACAAGAAGCGGAAGCUAGCGGCAGAGGCCGAGGAGGCAGCGGCGGAAGAAGAGGCCAAGAGCAGCAAGAAGAGAGGGGUGGCCACAGAGGAACCGGACCAAGGAGGGGCCGUGGAGAAGAGCGUGGCGGUGACUGGGAAGGGGUUCGCGGACCCCAAGUAUGCGCCGCUCAACUCCUUCGCCGCCGCGGCGCUGCCAACCCAGGUGCUCGACUGCUGCAAGGGGUUCGACCGGCCGUCACCCAUCCAGGCGCUAGCCUGGCCGUAUCUCCUCGAUGGCCGCGAUUUCAUUGGCAUCGCUGCCACCGGAUCUGGGAAGACUAUUGCGUUUGGUGUGCCGGCGCUGAUGCACGUCAGGAAGAAGCUGAGUGAAAAAGGCGCCAAGAAGGGGUUGCCGCGAUGCCUCAUGCUGGCUCCAACAAGGGAGCUUGCUCAGCAGAUCGCAGAUGUACUUACUGAAGCUGGUGCGCCAUGCGGGAUAAAUUCAGUGUGCCUCUAUGGUGGAACAUCAAAAGGACCCCAAAUAUCUUCCCUUAAAUCUGGAGUUGAAAUAGUCAUAGGAACUCCUGGUCGUAUGAAAGACCUCAUUGAAAUGGGUGUUUGUCGUCUUAACGAGGUUUCUUUUGUGGUUCUUGAUGAAGCAGAUCGGAUGCUGGAUAUGGGUUUUGAACCUGAGGUCAGGGCGAUUUUAAGCCAAACAUCAUCGGUGCGUCAGAUGGUUAUGUUCAGUGCAACAUGGCCUUUUGCUGUCCACCAGCUAGCUCAAGAGUUUAUGGAUCCGAAUCCAAUAAAGGUUGUUGUCGGAUCGGAAGAUCUCGCAGCUAAUCAUGAUGUGAUGCAAAUUGUUGAAGUAUUGGAUGAUAGAGCACGGGAUUCAAGAUUAGUUGCUUUGCUCGACAAGUAUCAUCGAGCACAGAGCAACCGGGUUUUAGUUUUUGUGUUGUACAAGAAAGAAGCUGGGCGAGUAGAAGCAAUGCUUAAUAAAAGGGGGUGGAAAGCUGUUUCUGUCCAUGGAGACAAGGCUCAGCAUGAUAGAACAAAAGCCUUAUCUUUAUUUAAAGAAGGAAAAUGUCCUUUAAUGAUUGCGACGGAUGUGGCUUCACGAGGACUUGACAUUCCUGAUGUUGAAGUUGUCAUCAAUUAUAGUUUUCCUUUGACCACGGAGGAUUAUGUACACAGGAUUGGAAGGACAGGUCGUGCAGGCAAGAAAGGUGUUGCACAUACAUUCUUCACUCAAGCGGACAAGGGACUUGCUGGUGAGCUUGUCAAUGUUUUACGGGAGGCUGAUCAGGUUGUUCCUCCAGCCCUUACGAAAUUUGGCACACAUGUGAAGAAAAAGGAAUCAAAGAUCUAUGGUUCCCACUUCAAGGAAAUCACAGCAGAUGCUCCUAAAUCAACAAAGAUCACAUUCGGUGAUUCAGACGAGGAGUAA